AAAGUUGUAACAAGGUUUCUGUAGGUAAACCUGCGGAAGAAUUAUUAUUGUAGGGCUUCAGCCCUCUUGAAAUAGAACUCUUGCCUUUUUGAGUACCUUUCGUUUCCUUAGCGGGCUCGCCCGCCAAUGGGGACCACAAUAAACUCUUUGUAAUACCUGUAAUUGUCUGACAAAACAAACAAAAAUUAAAACUUUUAACAACAGAUCUCUUGGUUCUG
rnacentral:misc_RNA from 1 species